rnacentral:ncRNA from 1 species
AACUUAUCCAGAAAGACAGAGGGAAAGGCCCUACGACGUCUUAGCAACCUGUACCGGCUAUUUAGCGGGUAAAAGGUGCUAAUUCCUGCUCCAUACUACAUGGAGAAAGAUAAGAU